UAUGCUUGCACAAGCUGUCGCAACUGAAGCUGGUGCAAAGUUUGUCAACAUAUCUGUAGGGAGCAUUGCGUUUAAAGAGAAAGAGGGAAAUAGGUAAAAGCAGUAUUCUCUUUGGUGUGGCAAAAUAGCCCAAGUGUCUUUUCUUUUUAUGAGCAUAGGGUGACGACAUGCCACGGAGAGGGGAAAAUCCUGGGGAACAAGAAUCAAUGUGCAAAAUUAAAUAUGAAUUGAACAUGGUUGGCUUGCGUACACAGGGGAAGGAACGCGUACU